UGUCCAAUCUGACCUCAUUCAGCAUGAUCUUCCAGUUGAACAUAGUUCUGACAUGAAACUGGACUUGCCUGUAACUGAUGUUAUUUGCACUCAGCCAUCUAGGCUAUGCACUAGAUCGGGUAGGCCUGUUAAGCCUCCAGCCAGACUUAUAUGUGAAAUGAAUGAACAGGUUGUGGAUGAUUCAAUGUCGACUGUGCACUCUCUCUUUUCCUUUGUGAAGACCAUGUUUGCAGGGUAGAUUUGUAUUGUUUCAAAGUUUAUUUCUGGGUUGUUUUUUUUUUUUUUUGCUCAGUGACUGCUUUGUAGAGCAAUGGUUGUUUAUCAAAAGGUGUAAAUGGCAUCUUUUGGGUCUGUGUUGGUAGGAGUAUUGGCCACACUUUUGCUAACAUUAUUCCUUAGGGGAAGUUUUGAACUGAUGUGACUACUAUGUGCUCUUUAUUUUUAUUUUUUUUAUUGCACUUUUGUGUUAGUGCUGUGUGUAUUUGAUACAACCCGAUUUUAGCAGAAUUUACGGGGGGUGUAUGUAACAUAGUUAAUAUGGUUCAGGUUAAAUCCUGCUAAAAUGCACCAUCUGCUGGUUUAAUGGAGUAUAACAUUCACCCUAGAAAGAGCAGGGUAUUAUGGGUAAUCCUCAGAGCCAUAAGGAUCACUGUUGAGGAGCAUGUUUAUGCUAGAGACUGACUUUACCUCGAUGCCCAUGUGUGAAAUACAGAUGGUGAAUUAAAGAGAACUACUGAUGCCAGCUUGAGCUCCUGUCAUCCAUUGCCACCCUAAGAGAAGCCACCAGAACCACAUAGGUCACACUGGCGCGGCAGCCGCAUCGCUCCCAUUGCCACCCCCAAGUGGUACAGCCAGGUGAACAAUCCCCCCCUUUAACGACCGACCUUCAGAAUCAUAGACAGGUUUCAGAUAUUAAAGGCUAACAAUGGGACCAAA